GACGAACGCUGGCGGCGUGCUUAACACAUGCAAGUCGAACGGAAAGGCCCUGCUUUUGUGGGGUGCUCGAGUGGCGAACGGGUGAGUAACAAGUGAGUAACCUGCCCUUGACUUUGGGAUAACUUCAGGAAACUGGGGCUAAUACCGGAUAGGAGCUCCUGCUGCAUGGUGGGGGUUGGAAAGUUUGGGCGGUUGGGGAUGGACUCGCGGCUUAUCAGCUUGUUGGUGGGGUAGUGGCUUACCAAGGCUUUGACGGGUAGCCGGCCGGAGAGGGGGACCGGCAAAAUUGGAACUGGGAUACGGCCAAGACUCCUACGGGAGGAAGAAGGGGGGAAUAUUGAACAAUGGGCGGAAGCUGGAUGCAGCAACGCCGCGUGCGGGAUGACGGCCUUCGGUUUGUAAACCGCUUUCGCCUGUGACGAAGCGUGAGUGACGGUAAUGGGUAAAGAAGCACCGGCUAACUACGUG
rnacentral:rRNA from 1 species